AAAGAUAAAUUUCCAGUGUAAAAAAAAAAUUUCCACAUCUAAAUCUGUAUUUUUCCCCUGGGGUCAGGCCCCAACUGGGUCACUGGAUGUGCUUUCAAAUCAGUUACGGACAGUUGCCUGGUUUUCCGCCUUGCUCGGAGUUGAAGACUGUCAGCCUCCUCAGCUCUCUGCAAUGGCCCCAGGAGACAGAGCCAGUUCAAAUUCCAGACUCAGACAGAUGGCAAAAUAAUGGUGUCAUUUAAAGUUCUCCAGGAGCUCUGGUGAGACCAACCCUUACAACAUCCCUGUGAGAUGCCUGGAGGACCCAGAGGACGCUCUUCUUUGCUAAGCAGAAAAAAAAUGCACCAAAAGUGAACAUGAAUGGCUAGAAGGUAAUUCACAUGUUAUGAUAUGUUUUGGACUGCAAUGGAGAGAAACAAAAACCCAGUUAAAAAAAAAAAGAGGGCUUGCUUCUCGGACUUCACCAAAUGACAGGCAGCUGGCAGGUCUUAGGAGUUACAUAUAAGGAAACUGAGCUUUGGAGAACUUGGGGCCUGUAGGUGAGGACCCAACAGACAUCUCUGGAAAUGAUCCACUAGAGUAAAAGUCCCUUUGUUUUCCUUUCACUACCAGGUAAUUAAAAAAAAAAAAAAGGUUAUACACCCUAAGACAAACAACGUGAAAAUACCAGCAGGCCAAACAUUUUGACAUGACCCAGUGCUAAGAUCA
rnacentral:lncRNA from 1 species